rnacentral:rRNA from 1 species
GAUGAACGCUAGCUACAGGCUUAACACAUGCAAGUCGAGGGGAAACGCUGAGAGAGCUUGCUCUCUUAGGCGUCGACCGGCGCACGGGUGAGUAACGCGUAUCCAACCUACCCAUUACAGGGGGAUAACCUUGCGAAAGUAAGACUAAUACCCCAUGGCAUUUUAUGGUGGCAUCAUUAUAGGAUUAAAGAUUUAUUGGUAAUGGAUGGGGAUGCGUCUGAUUAGCUUGUUGGCGGGGUAACGGCCCACCAAGGCAACGAUCAGUAGGGGUUCUGAGAGGAAGGUCCCCCACAUUGUAACUGAGACACGGUCCAAACUCCUACGGGAGGCAGCAGUGAGGAAUAUUGGUCAAUGGGCGAGAGCUUGAACCAGCCAAGUAGCGUGCAGGAUGACGGCCCUAUGGGUUGUAAACUGCUUUUAUAGGGGAAUAAAGUGAGCUACGUGUAGUUUAUUGCAUGUACCCUAUGAAUAAGGACCGGCUAAUUCCGUG